rnacentral:rRNA from 1 species
GACGAACGCUGGCGGCGUGCUUAACACAUGCAAGUCGAACGGGAGUAUUGAAGAAGCUUGCUUUAGAGAUACUUUAGUGGCGGACGGGUGAGUAACGCGUGAGGAGCUGUCCGAUGCAGGGGGACAACAGUUGGAAACGACUGUUAAUACCCCAUAAGCCGAGAGGUAAAAGGAUUUAUCCGGCAAUGGAGGUACUCGCGUCCUAUCAGCUAGUAGGUGAGGUAACGGCUCACCUAGGCGAAGACGGGUAGCCGGCCUGAGAGGGCGAACGGCCACACUGGAACUGAGAUACGGUCCAGACUCCUACGGGAGGCAGCAGGGGGGAAUAUUGGGCAAUGGGGGGAACCCUGACCCAGCGACGCCGCGUGGGUGAAGAAAUCCUUCGGGAUGUAAAGCCCUGUUGUAUGGGAAGAGCGGAAGACGGUACCAUACGAGGAAGCCCCGGCAAACUACGUGCCAGCCGCCGCAGUAA